UCCAAGUCUGGAUUCAUCAGUGGAACCCAACCUUUUGUUUGGUCGUAUGGAAAAGAAAGUACAAAUUCAAUCAAACAGAAAGGAGGGGGAAGAUAUGCAACUCUCACAGAAGUCAAACAGGGUAGAAGCAUUUCUCUUUUGCCUGAACUUGCCUUUUCAAGCUUACCAAGUUCAAUCAACACACGAAGGUGUUACUGGUCGUUCGCGCAUGCAAAAAACUGAACAUCUGGACUACUCCCUCCGUUCCUAAAUUUCCUAAAUAUAGGUCUUUUUAGAUAUUCCAACAAGGGACUACAUGCGGAUGUAUAUAGACAUAUUUUAGAGUGUAGAUUCAUCCAUUCUGUUCUGUAUGUAGUCCCUUUGGAGUCUCUAAAAGACUUAUAUUUAGGAACGGAGAAAGUAGAUCACUAGAAUAAGUGCAGCAAACAAUCAAUUAACUUUUUACAGUGUGUGAUGACAUAAUCCUAGAGUGAAACUAGCAAACGCCCAUAGAAAUGGCCCUAAAGCAAAA